rnacentral:rRNA from 1 species
AUUGAACGCUGGCGGCAGGCCUAACACAUGCAAGUCGAGCGAGUGGCGGACGGGUGAGUAAUGUCUGGGGAACUGCCCGAUAGAGGGGGAUAACUACUGGAAACGGUAGCUAAUACCGCAUACUAUCGGAUGACCCCAUAUGGGAUUAGCUUGUAGGUGGGGUAAAGGCUCACCUAGGCGACGAUCUCUAGCUGGUCUGAGAGGAUGAUCAGCCACACUGGAACUGAGACACGGCCCAGACUCCUACGUGAGGCAGCAGUGGGGAAUAGUGCACAAUGGGCGAAAGCCUGAUGCAGCCAUGCCGCGUGUAUGAAGAAGGCCUUAGGGUUGUAAAGUACUUUCAGCGGGGAGGCGUUACCCGCAGAAGAAGCACCGGCUAACUCCGUGCCAGCAGCCGCGGUAAUUC